rnacentral:rRNA from 1 species
UACGGAGGAUGCAAGCGUUAUCCGGAAUGAUUGGGCGUAAAGCGUCCGCAGGUGGCAAUGUAAGUCUGCUGUCAAAGCGUCUGGCUCAACCAGAUAAAGGCAGUGGAAACUACAAGGCUAGAGUACGUUCGGGGCAGAGGGAAUUCCUGGUGUAGCGGUGAAAUGCGUAGAGAUCAGGAAGAACACCAGUGGCGAAGGCGCUCUGCUAGGGCGUAACUGACACUGAGGGACGAAAGCUAGGGGAGCGAAUGGG